GGGUGCUUAGCUCAGCGGUAGAGCGCUUCCCUUACAAGGAAGAUGUCGGGGGUUCGAUCCCCUCAGCACCCA
rnacentral:tRNA from 7 species